UCUGCCCCAUGUGGGACACAGCUCUCAGCUGUCCCCAGACAUCCCACAAAGCUCAUUCUUUUCCUGGCCCCCAUCUCCACGGAGCCUCCCACCCUGGUCCAGCACUGGCCAUCACCGAUUUGCUGCAUUUUGGGAACCUCCAGGGAGCACAAAGGUGGUUGAACCAGGCUGGGAAGCAGCCCUGAUGCCAUGCAGCUCAGCAGUCUGCAUCUGGGAGCUACGUACUUUGUACCUUCCUCGCCGCCACCUGCGACACAGCCACAGAGCUGCAGUGUGCACUCUGCCAGCACAGGAGGAUGUACAGGACCACAUCUCCCAUGGAGAGGACAGGGUCCUGCCACCAGUUCCCCCAAUGGCGCUAAGAAUUUUUCUGAACCGACUCGUAUUCAUAAAUACGGCCCUCCAAUCCCUCUUGCAAGACAGAACCAACCCUAAUUAGAACGGUGAGCCCUCACCAUCUUUUCCUCAUCAUGCAGUUCCCAUAAAACUGCUCCAGAAGAGGAAGGUUUUGGCCAACCCCUCCCCCAGCAAGCAACAGGGAGUGUUCCCAACCGGCUGUCACAAUUAGAAUAAAGAGAAACUCCGUUGGAUUGUGGGGCUCAGGGGCUGAUUUCCAAGAAAAGGCCAAAGGGCUCAGAAUCAAGCAAUUGGCAUGGGGUCCUUGGGCACCUCCAGAGACUGGGAGCAUGGCUGGGUGCUGCUGUACAGUCAAUGGCCCAGGGCCAACUAUGAAUUCCUUUCUUCAAGCAGACACAUUUAUGGAAUGAUUGAAUGAGUUUGGUUCUGGGUGGAAGUGGAGGUGGUUGAGGCCUUCCACUGAGGGCAGAGAACCAAUGCACAGUGCUAUGAGGUGCCCAGCUUUGUGCUGCAGUUCACAGAGCCAUAGAACCAUUAAGUUAGAAGGAACACUUACAGGCCAUCUGAUCCAACUCCCUGCACUGAACAGGGACACCUACAGCUCCAUCAGGUGCUCAGAGCCCCAUACGAACACCUUGAGCGUCUCCAGGGAUGGAGCAUCCACCACAUCUCUAGGCAUUGAGGCUCCACAGCUCAAAUACUUCACCGGAUAUUUUCUUUACUGUGCUGCCAUUGCCAUUCAUGAACAACCCUGAGCUUAGCUACAGUCAUAAAGAGCAUUCACUGAAUGGAAAAAAAUCAUUAAAAAUUGUGGUCUCUUCCUGGACAACUCGGCA